UGGGGAAUCUUGGACAAUGGGGGCAACCCUGAUCCAGCCAUGCCGCGUGAGCGAUGAAGGCCUUAGGGUUGUAAAGCUCUUUCGCCGGUGAAGAUAAUGACGGUAGCCGGAGAAGAAGCCCCGGCUAACUCCGUGCCAGCAGCCGCGGUAAUACGGAGGGGGCUAGCGUUGUUCGGAAUUACUGGGCGUAAAGCGCGCGUAGGCGGAUGGUCAAGUCGGGGGUGAAAUCCCGGGGCUCAACCCCGGAACUGCCUUCGAUACUGGUCGUCUGGAGGACGGAAGAGGCGAGUGGAAUACCGAGUGUAGAGGUGAAAUUCGUAGAUAUUCGGUGGAACACCCGUGGCGAAGGCGGCUCGCUGGUCCGUUACUGACGCUGAGGCGCGAAAGCGUGGGGAGCAAACA
rnacentral:rRNA from 1 species